ACGCAAGUCUGACCGAGCGACGUCGCGUGCGGGUUAAGGCCUUCGGGUGUAAACCGCUGUCAGAGGGGAGGAAAUCGCCGGGAGCUAUCUCCCGGUGUUGACCGAGCCUCAGAGGAAGCACGGGCUAAGUCGUGCCAGCAGCCGCGGUAAUACGAACUGUGCGAACGUUAUUCGGAAUCACUGGGCUUAAAGGGUGCGUAGGCGGUUACUUAAGUAGGGUGUGAAAUGUCCCGGCUCAACCGGGGGAAUGGCGCUCUAAACUGGGUGGCUUGAGUGAGAUAGAGGUGUGCGGAACUUCCGGUGGAGCGGUGAAAUGUGUUGAUAUCGGAGGGAACACCAUUGGCGAAAGCGGCACACUGGGUCUCAACUGACGCUGAGGCACGAAAGCCAGGGGAGCAAACGGGAUUAGAUACCCCGGUAGUCCUGGCUGUAAACGCUGAGUACUGGUUGGGAGGGGGUUCGCCCCAUCCCGACGUAGCGAAAGCGUUAAGUACUCCGCCUGGGGAGUAUGGUCGCAAGACUG
rnacentral:rRNA from 1 species